rnacentral:rRNA from 1 species
GAGGAUGCGAGCGUUAUCUGGAUUCAUUGGGUUUAAAGGGUGCGUAGGCCGGACGUUAAGUCAGCGGUGAAAUCCCGGAGCUCAACUCCGGCGAGCCGUUGAAACUGGCGUUCUUGAGUACGUGAAAGGCAUGCGGAAUGCGCGGUGUAGCGGUGAAAUGCAUAGAUAUCGCGCAGAACUCCGAUUGCGAAGGCAGCAUGCCGGUGCGUCACUGACGCUGAGGCACGAAAGCGUGGGGAUCGAA